rnacentral:misc_RNA from 1 species
CCCAUAGAAAGAGUAACAGUCAAACAACUCAGAAGCCAAAGGGACAUGGGGGAUACCAUAGUACUAGUUAAACUGUACUUCCAGUUGCCCUGAAGUUUGACACAGCAUCUAAGAGAUGAUGAGAUGCUUUCUCGAAAUUAACGAAGCCCAUGAACCAGAAAUCAUGACCAUCAAUAGUAACCAUCUGAAUGUACUUUUCUGGUGGGUUUUCUUUCACGACAACCGGGUUAACUUGGCCUAUUUUGUUCAGUGGUAUCAUCACCUUGUAGUAGCACCAAGUCUCCUGCCCUGAUGGAGCCAUAAAGGAAAGGGGACGGUCACUGCAGAAGGCUACCCGAGCAGUCGAUAGAUAGAGGGUUCCAGCAACAGGGCCAGUGGAUGUGGAAAGGUAACAAGCGAAAGUCUUCUUCAGCUUCUCGUUCAGGUGAGUUUCAAAAACCUGCUUGAAGAGAGACUCAAAGCCACCUUCUGUGAUUGCUUUCGCUGUCAAGUUGACCUUACCCCAAGCAGUUUCAGACACUGAAGGCCCCGUUGUAAGAUUGUGCCAUAUAUUCCGGGCUAUGUUCUCCGCCUUCCUGCUCCAGGUAUUGAAGGCUUGGAUCACCGGCUCAAAAGGAUUGUUGCUUGGCUUCUCUACAGGGGAAUACACAAGAUAAGGCUGCUGAUAGAUUUGCUGGUGGUCAGCGGCGUUCCAUGAGGCUGCUUUUUGGUUGUCAGGGUGGAGAGUAGGGGCUGCCGGUGAUCCCAUGACAUGGGUGCCCCAUUUCUCGGCUUCCUGCUUUGAUGGGGGUUGAUGAGGCUGUGAGGGCUCAUGGGAUUCUGCUAUUUGUGUUUCUUGUGAAGUGGUUGCCAUGGUUUGCUCAAUUUUUUGAGAUGCAAAACACAGAAUUGGCAGUUCCUUUGAAUAAGCACUGUUUAUAUUUUGAUUUUGAUUAGUUAUUAGAAGAUGAUGGCUUAUUAAUCCACCUAAUCCACUGAUAAAGGUUGUCGUAUACACGGAAAAAUUAUUUUCUUCGCUAUGAAGAAAUAAUUAUUAUACAAAUAUGGAAAGCUCACUUACCUUCGAGAUUUGGCACUUCAUCCUUAGGCAGUAGCCACAUGGUCUUAACGAGAAAAUGCAAUUUAAAAUGGCCUUCGGCUGGUUGACUGGCUGAUGUUAUCU